CAUUGCCUGGCUGUAGGGCUGCUGUGAGUGACCUGGAGGAAAGGGGGAGCUGCAAGGGGUUGGUAGGAGGCUCCUGGUCCUGGGCAUGACCUGAAACUGUACCCUGCCGGGAGUGGGUGGUCUGGUGGGGCUCUCAGUGGUGUGGGAGCCCCCAGGAAAUGCCAGGCCAGUUAUCACCCCGGUGAAAGGCGGGUCGGGGUGCCUUAACCCCUAGCUCCCACCAGCACCAGGUGGGUAACCCAUGUGUUUGUCGGAGGGCCUAGACGGCCAGUGUUGUGAGGGGCCCAGAGAGGGCGGACCCCGAGAGUGGGAGUGAUGUGGGCGUGGUGCUGCGGUUGCCCCCGGGAGGACGGGGAGUAGUGGCACGGUGAGGCCCAGAGAUAGAGUGAGCGACUAGAGAGACCCAGCCCGAAGGGGAGAGUACCCUCGACUGGCCCAAGCUGGGGCCAGGACUACGGUAGUCAAAAGGGCCGGGGGCCCACCGCCAGGAAUGCCCAAGAGCUGGGGGCCUGGGGUCCCGACUGGCCUGGAGGUGGGCCAGGGCCAGGUAGCCGAAGGUCCCGGGGGAACCACACCCGAGAGGGGAACAUGGCUUCGGGGGGGCGAGGUAGCCUGUAUGAUGGCGGAGUGGCUGCCUGAUAGGAAGGAUCAGAGAGGGGUCCUGUUAGGACGAUUCUGGGGCCCAGUGUGGGGCCGGUGAUUAUAGUAACACUAUGAUGCCAUCUGCGAGGCUUGGGCUGUGGUAUUAGGGGAGGUUGGAGCCGCAGAGCGCCCCCCCCAGCAUCUGGGCACUACAAUGGGCAGCCUCCCACUUAAUUGACAUCAAUAUACGAAUCAAUUAUCAUCAAAGGCGUGGCGGGCGAGAUAAGCGGGCCGUUGCCCAGAGACAGGCGGGCGGGCCACGAAGAGCUCGGCCCUGAGUAGGCCUGCUGUCACGGUGACAGGCGGGCGGGCCACAGAGUUCGGCCCCAGGAGGUCCCCCUGUCACAGUGACCUCCUCAGUUUCACCCAGUAUCAAGCUCAGUAGUCUGACCCUGUUUAAAGCAACUCUUCCAGAAAGACAUCCAGUCUUCCCUUGUCAGUCUUGGAUGGAGAACCCAUGACUUCCCUUAGCAGCUGCUGAGCUGAUCCCACCCCAGGUGAGGCUGCUGCUCCCUUCUUGUGAGGACAGCUCCACAGAGGAGCUGGAGCUGGUCUGCCUUCUAAUGAACUUCAGCCCCGAGACAGCUACAGUGGAAUGGCUUGUGAAUGGUGUGAAGAAGGAGCUUCCUGGCAUGCCUUACUCCUCUGGAAAGGGCACAGAUGACUUAUACAGAGGCCACAGCCAAGUAAACAUCACCAGGGAGAGCUGGGAUAAAGGGGAUGUUUACACAUGCAAAGUUACCCACUCUGCCUGGGACGUAGGCUUCUGGAUGUCCAACAUAAGCAAAUGCUCAGCCUAUCUCAGUAACUCAGCAGAUCCAUCCAUGGAUGUCACCCUGCCAUCCUAUGAUGACCUGGUUGAUAACACAGCCCGUGUUACAUGCCUCAUUAUGGGCUACAGCUUGGUAGGUGCUGAAGUGGCCUGGGAAAUAGAUGGGAAGGCCAGCUCUUUGGCCAAGACAGGAGCCAUUGUGACACACGACAACGGGACCCAGAGUAUCACCAGCACCCAUGGAAUAACCCUGGUGCAGUGGAAGACCAGGACAAGGUUCACCUGCAAUGUGGUACUUCCGUGUGCAGGAAGAGUCAGGAAGGAUGCUCCCAUAAUAGACAUGACCAAUCCAGCCCAGGCGCCUACUGCCUCAGCCACCAUUCUUAGCCAAGACCCAGCUGAAGCUUUGGGGAAGAAUGAUUCUGUCACACUCCUCUGUGAUGUCACGGGAUUCUUCCCACAAGAGAUCAGCCUGCACUGGGAGCACAAAGGCACCAAAGUGUCCCCAUCUCAGUAUUCCCAUGGGCCCAUCACUAGGGAUGGCCAGACAUUCUCCACUCACAGCCUCCUGCGGGUGCCCAGACCAGAACAAGAAAUUACUACGGUUUCUGACUACUACUGUGUGGUGUUGCACGUAGCGCUGGUUGAUAACUUGAUGGUGAAAGCAGAGCUUGGAGAAGGUGCCUGCAAGGCCCCCCAGGUGGAAGUCUUUCUCUUGCCUCCAUCCCUGGGGGAUCUCUACAUAUCCCAGAAUGCCACCAUCACUUGCUUGGUGACCAACAUGGACACCACAGCCAACUUGGAGAUCUCCUGGAGCCGGGGAAGUGAGAGGGCCUUGGAUUUUGUGUCCAGGGAGCCAGUUCUGGAAGGAAACAACAGCUACAGUGUAUCCAGCAUCCUGCAGGUAUGUCCAGAGGAGUGGAAGUCCGGGGAAGAAUUCACCUGUACAGUGAAGCACCAGGAUAUCCCAUCGGCUAUCGUCAAAACAGUGCACAAGAGUCACGAUGCUCCCAUCUGGGCUCCUUCAGUCUAUAUCUAUCCUCCUUCUGCCGAUGAGCUGGCUCUCCGGGAAUCGGCCACCAUGACUUGCCUGGCCAAGGGUUUCCGCCCCAGGGACAUCCUAGUGAUGUGGACCCGGCAGGACCAGCCCAUGGACCAGCAAGCCUUCACCAAUGUUGGCCCCUUUCGGGAAGUUGGGAAGGAGGACAAGGAGGAGAGCUACUUCAUCUACAGCACGCUCAGCAUCCCAGCAUCAGAGUGGCAGCGGGGAGACACAUUUGCCUGCGUGGUGGGCCACGAAGGCCUCCCGAUGACCUUCAUCCACAAGAGUGUGGACAAAGCCACUGGUAAACCCACUGCUGUCAACAUCUCUGUGGUCUUGUCUGACACUGAUGUCACCUGCUCUUGAGGAAGGAAAUGUCUGCGCGUCUUGUGUGUCUGUGGGUCUUUGUUGACCUUGUGUUAAGCUGGGGGAGCUCUGAUGAAAGGAGCUUGGAUAUAUGUAGAAUAUGCCCAAA